ACCGAUCUUCGGGGCGGGGUGAAAGUCCCCACCGGCGGUAGAGUCCGCGAGCUGAACAGCAUGAGCUGGUGUAAUUCCGGCACCGACAGUUACAGUCUGGAUGAUAGAAGAUAGGC
rfam:Bacteroides capillosus ATCC 29799 B_capillosus-2.0.1_Cont34, whole genome shotgun sequence.